AAAUUGAAGAGUUUGAUCAUGGCUCAGAUUGAACGCUGGCGGCAGGCCUAACACAUGCAAGUCGAACGGUAACAGAAAGCAGCUUGCUGCUUUGCUGACGAGUGGCGGACGGGUGAGUAAUGUCUGGGAAACUGCCUGAUGGAGGGGGAUAACUACUGGAAACGG
rnacentral:rRNA from 1 species